GGAAAAUUCUCUUCUUGCUAGCCUUCGCCGAGUUAUUCAACAACAUCGCUAUAUUGCUGAUUUUUGCUGUUGUUUUUUGGUUAAAGCUGCAUGCUUUUGUUGGAUAAUGUUUAAUUUAUCAUUCACGUUUUACAUAUGAUUCUGUUUAAACCAUAUUUAAUCGAUGUUUUGGUGAAUUUCGCGCAUGCUUAACUUGCCUGAUUUCGGACGUAAUUUACUUUCGGAAACAUGCUCCUCUUGUGUUUUUUUCGAUGUUUUCUUAUGUAUGCAGAUUUAAAAAAACAGCUCAUGCUUAAAUGUGUUAUUGAGCAAGUGACUUCUUUAUACUAUGGCAGGAAUAAAAAAACUGUUAUAAAAUUAUAAAGGAAGUUUAGUUACAUGUAUAAACUCACAGUCACAAGUGUUAACACCUGGCGCCGUGACCUGGAUGCAGAUUCUAAGCAGAUGGGCCAAAAUGGGGGCAGCUAGAGAGACUCGCCUGGAACUGACAAGCCUGGAGGGAGCUGGUUGACUGUUGGCGAGAUGGGACAACAGACGAAGAAUAAACGAACCUACUUGAUUUGAUAAACAUUUUUAUGUUUUUCAGUUUCGUCGGAAGACAUUUCCCACCAACCAUCCUGUCUUGAAAGAAAUAACUUUUGAACCCGAUUAUCUGAGAAAUCACCCACAGCAUUGGCCAAAUCACUGCGGAAAUCCGGACUUCUUCAUGCACGUUUUUGACCUAACAACAAUCACUGCGAAAUAGCGCAGACCGUGUUUGACUUACGCUGGCCGCAUACGCAUUAAGACCUAUUUUCGCAAGACGCGACUAUAAGUGUGAUUUGGUUGUGUUGAAAGAACACUGUGCAUGUAUGAACUAUUUACAUCUCAUUGCGAUGGCGAUAUAAUAAAUUCAUAAUAAGCCUUGUGAGGCCACAUAUGA